rnacentral:rRNA from 1 species
AUGGAGCCGACCUUGAAAUACCACCCUUUAAUGUUUGAUGUUCUAACGUUGACCCGUAAUCCGGGUUGCGGACAGUGUCUGGUGGGUAGUUUGACUGGGGCGGUCUCCUCCUAAAGAGUAACGGAGGAGCACGAAGGUUGGCUAAUCCUGGUCGGACAUCAGGAGGUUAGUGCAAUGGCAUAAGCCAGCUUGACUGCGAGCGUGACGGCGCGAGCAGGUGCGAAAGCAGGUCAUAGUGAUCCGGUGGUUCUGAAUGGAAGGGCCAUCGCUCAACGGAUAAAAGGUACUCCGGGGAUAACAGGCUGAUACCGCCCAAGAGUUCAUAUCGACGGCGGUGUUUGGCACCUCGAUGUCGGCUCAUCA